UGGGGAAUUUUGGACAAUGGGCGAAAGCCUGAUCCAGCCAUGCCGCGUGAGUGAAGAAGGCCUUCGGGUUGUAAAGCUCUUUUGGUCGGAAAGAAAGAGUCGCAAUGAAUAAUUGUGAUUUAUGACGGUACCGACAGAAAAAGCACCGGCUAACUACGUGCCAGCAGCCGCGGUAAUACGUAGGGUGCGAGCGUUAAUCGGAAUUACUGGGCGUAAAGGGUGCGCAGGCGGUCUUGCAAGUCAGAUGUGAAAGCCCCGGGCUUAACCUGGGAAUUGCGUUUGAAACUACAAGACUAGAGUGCAGCAGAGGGGAGUGGAAUUCCAUGUGUAGCAGUGAAAUGCGUAGAGAUGUGGAAGAACACCGAUGGCGAAGGCAGCUCCCUGGGUUGACACUGACGCUCAUGCACGAAAGCGUGGGGAGCAAACA
rnacentral:rRNA from 1 species